rnacentral:tRNA from 1 species
GCUUUUGGUUCAAUUUGGUAGAAUGCUCGCCUGCUACGCGGGCGCCCCGGUUUCGAUUCCCGGCCGAUGCA